AACGCACAUUGCGCCCUGUGGUAUUCCGCAGGGCAUGCCUGUUCGAGCGUCAUUUAACCACUCACGCCUAGCGUGGUAUUGGGGCACGCGGUCUCGCGGCCCUCAAAAUUAGUGGCGGUGCCGGCUGGGCUCUAAGCGUAGUACAUACUUCUCGCUACAGGGUCCAGUCGUCCACCCGCCAGAACCCCCAACUUUCUUAGGUUGACCUCGGAUCAGGUAGGGAUACCCGCUGAACUUAA
rnacentral:misc_RNA from 1 species